GUUUACGACCAUUCCUGAACGAUAUUGAUCUCAUCUGAUCUCUGAAGCUAAGCAAGGUAAGGCCUGGUUGGUACAUGGCUAAGAGAAACAUAAAAAGCAGAAAAUCUACAACU
rnacentral:rRNA from 1 species